UCUUGAGUCUGUGGACGAUGAGUUGAGCAUCGAAUACUGCGUACUUUGGUCGAUUCGUGUUGUCGCAAAUCAAACUACGGUUUUUAUCGAGAGUAGAAGUUAUAAGCUGAGAGAGUACGUGAAUCGGGUAGAAGAUUCAAAUACGAAGGACUUGUGGGGCGUGGCAUAUUGGCUUGGUAUAUCACGUAUACGUGUGGCUGUUUCUAAAUCGUAUCGCUGAGACAUUAAUUGUCUUUUUGGAACUUUUCCCUUAGAGGUUCAGAUAUAAAUUGAAACGUGAGCUAUAACAAUAGGCCAAUCCCAGAUCCAAACAACAGAUAUAAAGGGACGAGUUGUGGUAUAUUACAGAUUGUUUUAGCUGACUAUGCCAUACAUUUUAGUACGUGGUAACCUAGCGUCAUACAGUCAUAAAUAUCCCUGGAGGGUUCUUGUAUCAGGGCUUAAAGCGGCUGACAUAGAGCAAUUGGGUCGCUUUACAAAUAUAGGUUAUUGCGACGAUUCAACGAUAGUAUAUUUGCAACAUCCUUGCAUAAUAUUGACUGCUUUAGAAGUACUUGGUUACAAAGUCGUCGCAUCUUCCAGUACUAGCAUUAAGCAGGAUUAUAAUGAAUACAUGUGGACUAUGAGAAAAGAAUUUCCAGAACCUGAACCUGAACCUGAACGUGUUGUAACAGCUGCGCGGCGAUGGCAACCACGUCCAACGUCAAAAAGGACGUCGCCGACGAGGACGACGACACUUUCUAUUACGUCGGUGUAAGGGCAUCCCCGUUCGCGGCCGAUUGCGUUGUGUUUGGUCUGCCUUCGAAAGAGACGUCGGCCCUACAUAGCCGCUUCCCGCUGUCCUCCACUAGUACGAAUAUCGUGAAUGGAAUUAUGCUCAAAGGGACACCGUUCUCGGUCAUAAAUGCUCUAGCUGAGCUCGGUUAUCGAGUUAUUUGUAGUUCUGGAGAGACCGAGGUACUUUGGACAUUGCAGCGGGAAUGUUAAUGAUAUAAAAAAAUUGGGUCUUACCGUAUAUAUACCGUAUAUAUACUAUUAUAUAUCUAACACACUUACUUGCAAUUUUAUAUAUAUAUCUAUGUUUUUAUGAAUCGAAUUUUUAUCAAGUGAAUGAGAUUUGUAAUAUUAUCAUUCUUUUCUGCAUUUUUCUUUUAUACAUCUUGUAAUUCUGGUGUUCGUCUAAACGCGUUUUGGCGAUAUUUUACAAUAGUUGUUACAAACAUAUAAUAUUGUGUGGACCAUCUGAAAGGCUUUAUCUUACCAAAUAUCUUUUUGAGAUAUUUGAUUGUAUGAUUUUAUAUGUAUCUCGCAAAGUUGAAUGGAUACAUAUAAAAUGUAGCUCAUCAUUAAAGUAGAACAUGUACAAUAUUUCAUUUGAUUUGAAAAUGGACACGUACAACAUAUUAGUCAGUGUUGUAAACGAUAACAUUAAUAACGAAUGUUUUUUGUAUGUUAUCGAAUGUGACAUUUUAUAUGCAUAUUUCAGCAAUAUCGCGAGUUUCUUUGUAAAGGUUAAUAACGGUUUCGAAAAGGGCACGAUAAAAUUGAUUAUGAUAAGACUGUUUGUGAGAGAGAGGUAAUGAGAAGAUUGAGCCACCUUAAACUUUAUGCAUUCCACAUCUGUUGGUAAAUUAUUAUCUGCACUGUUAUAUUACAGAUAAUAAUUUAUCAGCAAAUACGGAAAAUUCCCCAGAGCAAAAUAAUGCGCCUUGGUACACACAUUAUAUAUAUAUAUAUAU